rnacentral:rRNA from 1 species
AUUGAACGCUGGCGGCAGGCCUAACACAUGCAAGUCGAACGGUAACAGGAAGAAGCUUGCUUCUUUGCUGACGAGUGGCGGACGGGUGAGUAACGCGUGGGUAACCUGCCUUGUACAGGGGGAUAACAGUUGGAAACGACUGCUAAUACCGCAUAAGCGCACAGUACCGCAUGGUACGGUGUGAAAAACUCCGGUGGUACAAGAUGGACCCGCGUCUGAUUAGCUUGUUGGUGAGGUAACGGCCCACCAAGGCGACGAUCAGUAGCCGGCCUGAGAGGGUGAACGGCCACAUUGGGACUGAGACACGGCCCAAACUCCUACGGGAGGCAGCAGUGGGGAAUAUUGCACAAUGGGGGAAACCCUGAUGCAGCGACGCCGCGUGAGUGAUGAAGUAUUUCGGUAUGUAAACUCCUGUUGUUGAGGAAGAUAAUGACGGUACUCAACAAGGAAGUGACGGCUAACUACGUG